rnacentral:misc_RNA from 1 species
CUGAGUACUACACUCUCUACCCUUUGUGAACUAUUAUACCUGUUGCUUCGGCGGCGCCCGGCAAGGGUGCCCGCCGGGUCGUCAUCAGAAUCUCUGUUUUCGAACCCGACGAUACUUCUGGGUGUUCUUAGCGAACUGUCA